UUAAUUGAAGAGUUUGAUCAUGGCUCAGAUUGAACGCUGGCGGCAGGCCUAACACAUGCAAGUCGAGCGGCAGCACAGAGGAACUUGUUCCUUGGGUGGCGAGCGGCGGACGGGUGAGUAAUGCCUGGGAAAUUGCCCGGUAGAGGGGGGAUAACCAUUGGAAACGAUGGCUAAUACCGCAUAACCUCGCAAGAGCAAAGCAGGGGACCUUCGGGCCUUGCGCUA
rnacentral:rRNA from 1 species